rnacentral:rRNA from 1 species
CAAUAGCGUAUAUUAAAGUUGUUGCGGUUAAAAAGCUCGUAGUUGGAUUUCUGCUGAGAACGACCGGUCCGCCCUUUGGGUGUGUAUCUGGCUCUUUCUUGGCAUCUUCUUGGUGAACGUUGCUGCACUUGACUGUGUGGAGCGCUACCCAGGACUUUUACUUUGAGGAAAUUAGAGUGUUUCAAGCAGGCAUACGCCUUGAAUACAUUAGCAUGGAAUAAUAAGAUAGGACCUCGGUUCUAUUUUGUUGGUUUCUAGAGCUGAGGUAAUGAUUAAUAGGGAUAGUUGGGGGCAUUCGUAUUUAACUGUCAGAGGUGAAAUUCUUGGAUUUGUUAAAGAUGGACUACUGCGAAAGCAUUUGCCAAGGAUGUUUUCAUUGA